CGGAAUGAUCGGCGAUAACCCAAGUCACUUCGGCUACGCCAGUCUAAAGAUUCAACAGUAAUAAUAUUCGAUAAUAAGAGAUUCUACGUGAAUGCGCGUGGAUCGAUCGGCCUCAUCCGAACGACUCGUGAUAAAACGAAAAGGCGUGUAGAUGAAAACACGCAAGGGCGUAAGGAAAAAAGAGACGGAAGGCGAGAGGAGGAGGAGGAGAAAGAGUAGACAGAGAAGAACGAAGAGGAGAAGCGGGUAGGAGUAGAGUACACAUAGAUGGACACAGGACAGGACAGCGUGCACCGAUCGUCUUUGACUUUGCGGUCCAAUGGACCGUUUAAUGGAUUAUUCUAGCUUCGGUGAUUUCGAUUUGAUCGAAAUAGCCUGACUUUGAUAAAGACACGUACCACCAGCCGUUUCUUUCGAAAAUACAGCGACCGAUAGACGCAUCGAAAUA